UACGUAGGGGCAAGCGUUUGUCCGGAAUCAUUGGGCGUAAAGCGCGUGUAGGCGGCUCGAUAAGUCUGCUGUGAAAGUCCAGGGCUCAACCCUGGGAUGCCGGUGGAUACUGUCGAGCUCGAGUCCGGAAGAGGCGAGUGGAAUUCCUGGUGUAGCGGUGAAAUGCGCAGAUAUCAGGAGGAACACCAAUGGCGAAGGCAGCUCGCUGGGACGUGACUGACACUGAGACGCGAAAGCGUGGGAGCAAACAGG
rnacentral:rRNA from 1 species